rnacentral:lncRNA from 1 species
GCCCGUUAUGUCCGUUCAUCUUCUUCUUGCUCCCCGGCAAAGCUCAGGUGGUGGUGGUGGUGGGCCACGAACGCGUAGGCCUGCGCCUCCUAUGAUGGGAAGCAGCCCCAGGCCAUGGGACGCGCCUGCAACUCCUCCCAGAACGAGGAUGGCACCAGCUCCUGUUCCUCGCGCGGGCGCUUCCCGAGGAGGGAGACAGAGGCUGAGGGAGAGGAGGAGCCUGGCCGCGCG